rnacentral:rRNA from 1 species
UACGUAGGGUGCAGGCGUUAAUCGGAAUUACUGGGCGUAAAGCGUGCGCAGGCGGUCUUUUAAGUCAGAUGUGAAAUCCCCGGGCUUAACCUGGGAACUGCGUUUGAAACUGGAAGGCUUGAGUGUGGCAGAGGGGGGUGGAAUUCCACGUGUAGCAGUGAAAUGCGUAGAGAUGUGGAGGAACACCGACGGCGAAGGCAGCCCCCUGGGCUAACACUGACGCUCAUGCACGAAAGCGUGGGGAGCAAACAGG